AUUAGAGAAGGAGGAAGUGUCAAAACCUCAAAUCAGAUCAGGUCUCUGAAAUCAUAAGGACAAUAAAAAUGGUGCAUCAGUGAUGAUUAUGACUAUACAUGGUUUCAGUUGAAAGGGAGGAAUAUUCUUGAAUUACCUGAUGUGAGAAGAUUGCACAGCCUGUUCCUUUCUGAGUCCCUCUCUAAAGAUGCCUGAAACAGCAAAGGGUACACCAAGGCUUGUGAGAAGAGCUACUUCUGUUUGGCCUCCAGAGGGCGAUGCUGCACAAACUAGAAUUACAACUAGAGAACUGUGUCAUUCCUUCAGCCUCUCCUUCAGAGAGCUGGCUGAGGUGCCCAGCUGGAGCUCUUUGCAGACAGUGACAUAUGAAGAGGAUUCAGAAGUCAGAAAACAUCCAGAUUUUUCAAGGAAGAGACUCUUCCAAACAUCUCUGGAACGUGCUUAGGCAGGAUUCUAGAGCACCAACCAUACACAUUCUUCCUUGUUCCAAGAGUGCUGUUUCCUGCUCAGGGAAAAUCUUUGAAAAGGAUCCCACAGCUUCUUCACUGCUCAGCCAUGAGCUUGGUUCCUGUACUGGUGCUUAUGAUACUUUUUUCCCUGAGAGGAACCGGAGCCCAGUCAGUGACCCAGCCUGACGUGCACAUCACUGUCUCUGAAGGAGCCCCUCUGGAGCUGAGGUGCAACUAUUCAUCUUCUGUUUCACUGUAUCUCUUCUGGUAUGUGCAGUAUCCCAACCAAGGACUCCAGCUUCUCCUCAAGUACACAUCUGGAAACAGCCUUGUUCCAGGCAUCAAAGGUUUCAAGGCUGAAUUUAGGAAGAAUGAAACCUCCUUUCACCUGAAGAAACCCUCAGCCCAUUGGAGCGACUCGGCUGAGUACUUCUGUGCUGUGAGUGACACAGUGCCUGCGACUGCAGGGGGAGCUGAACACAAACUUCUGGUGAAUCUGAGGCUUUCAGUGACUCAAGGGAUCAACCUGGGGUGUUUUCAGUAA